CCGCAGGAGAAGCCGAACCGGGUCCGGCGGCCGAAGCGGCCCGCGAGGCGCGGGAGGCAUGAAGUUGGGCGCGCACUGGCCUCGGAGCCGGGGGGAGCCGGGAGCCGCCCGCAUCUAGAGCCCGCGAGCCAGCAGCCAUGUGGAGACCCGGGCCCACGCCGAGGAGCGGCUCCUGAAGAAACUCUUCUCCGGUUACAACAAGUGGUCCCGACCCGUGGCCAACAUCUCAGACGUGGUCCUCGUCCGCUUCGGCCUGUCCAUUGCUCAGCUCAUUGACGUGGAUGAGAAGAACCAGAUGAUGACCACGAACGUAUGGGUGAAGCAGGAGUGGCACGACUACAAGCUGCGCUGGGACCCAGCUGACUACGAGAAUGUCACCUCCAUCCGCAUCCCCUCUGAGCUCAUCUGGCGGCCGGACAUCGUCCUCUACAACAAUGCCGACGGGGACUUCGCGGUCACCCACCUGACCAAGGCCCACCUGUUCCAUGACGGGCGGGUGCAGUGGACUCCCCCGGCCAUUUACAAGAGCUCCUGCAGCAUCGACGUCACCUUCUUCCCCUUUGACCAGCAGAACUGCACCAUGAAAUUCGGCUCCUGGACCUACGACAAGGCCAAGAUCGACCUGGUGAACAUGCACAGCCGCGUGGACCAGCUGGACUUCUGGGAGAGUGGUGAGUGGGUCAUCGUGGACGCCGUGGGCACCUACAACACCAGGAAGUAUGAGUGCUGUGCCGAGAUCUACCCAGACAUCACCUACGCCUUCGUCAUCCGGCGGCUGCCGCUCUUCUACACCAUCAACCUCAUCAUCCCCUGCCUGCUCAUCUCCUGCCUCACCGUGCUGGUCUUCUACCUGCCCUCUGAGUGCGGCGAGAAGAUCACACUGUGCAUCUCCGUGCUGCUGUCACUCACCGUCUUCCUGCUGCUCAUCACCGAGAUCAUCCCGUCCACCUCACUGGUCAUCCCGCUCAUUGGCGAGUACCUGCUGUUCACCAUGAUUUUCGUCACCCUGUCCAUCGUCAUCACGGUCUUCGUGCUCAAUGUGCACCACCGCUCGCCGCGCACGCACACCAUGCCCACCUGGGUACGCAGGGUCUUCCUGGACAUCGUGCCGCGCCUGCUCCUCAUGAAGCGGCCGUCCGUGGUCAAGGACAAUUGCCGGCGGCUCAUCGAGUCCAUGCACAAGAUGGCCAGUGCCCCGCGCUUCUGGCCCGAGCCAGAGGGGGAGCCCCCCGCCACGAGCGGCACCCAGAGCCGGCAUCCGCCCUCACCGUCCUUCUGCGUCCCCCUGGAUGUGCCAGCUGAGCCUGGGCCUGCCUGCAAGUCAUCCUCCGACCAGCUCCCUGCUCUGCAGCCCCCAGAAGCUGAGAAAGCCAGCCCCCACCCCUCGCCUGGACCCUGCCACCCACCCCACAGCACCCAGGCACCAGGGCUGGCCAAAGCCAGGUCCCUCAGCGUCCAGCACAUGUCCAGCCCUGGCGAAGCAGUAGAAGGCGGCGUCCGGUGCCGGUCUCGGAGCAUCCAGUACUGUGUUCCCCGAGACGAUGCUGCCCCCGAGGCAGAUGGCCAGGCUGCCGGCGCCCUGGCCUCUCGCAAGACCUACUCGGCUGAGCUCCCACCCCCAGACCAGCCCUCUCCGUGCAAAUGCACAUGCAAGAAGGAGCCCUCUUCGGUGUCCCCGAGCGCCACGGUCAAGGCCCGCAGCACCAAAGCGCUGCCCCGGCACCUGCCCCUGUCGCCGGCCCUGACCCGGGCGGUGGAGGGUGUCCAGUACAUUGCAGACCACCUGAAGGCCGAAGACACAGACUUCUCGGUGAAGGAGGACUGGAAGUACGUGGCCAUGGUCAUCGACCGCAUCUUUCUCUGGAUGUUCAUCAUCGUCUGCCUGCUGGGGACCGUGGGCCUCUUCCUGCCGCCCUGGCUGGCUGGCAUGAUCUAGGAAGGGACCGGGAGCCUGUGCGGCCUGGGGCUGCAGCGCACGGGGUCAGCAUCCAUGCGGCCGGCCUGGGGCCGGGCUGGCUCAUCCCUGGACUCUGCGAGGUCACACAUUUGCCAAAUUAUCCUUCCUGUUCUGUGUCUGCUG
rnacentral:sRNA from 1 species